rnacentral:misc_RNA from 1 species
AACACUGUUAACCUGCGGUACCUGCGGAAGGAUCAUUACAGAGUGUUUAACCCCCUAUAAAAUGGUGGGUCUAACCUCCCGUCCUUUGCUGGGUCCCCCUUCUGGAGGACUUUCAGAACUUUCUGCUUCGGCGGGGUAUACCCGCCGGAACACCCUCAAAAAAUUCUUGAUCAAAAUGGUUCGGUCCGAGAAACUUUUUGUGAAAAUUAGCGAAAAACUUUCAACAAUGGAUCUCAGAUC